GAAUGGGCAAGGGUCAAGCUGCCAACAUUGACCCUUACAGAUUCACCAUUCCAUUCAAAUUCUAACCAUUCAAACACUCUCCAUUUCACACCAAUUGACCAUUUUAAAUCUCAAUUAGGUCAAAUUGCAUCAUUUCGCCAAAUUCUCAAUUUUCCCCCCAAUUUUCAAUGGCCAAGAACCCUAAUUCAUCCAUUUGCACAAAUCAUUCAAAUUAAAGCUCACAAAUCACCUUCACCUACUUAGUUAAGCCUAAUUACACACUUAAUUCCAUUUAAUUCACUUCAAUCACACCUCCCCCAUGGCUGGCCGAAUUUCACUAUGUCCUUUAACUUAUCAUUUUUGUUCCAUUUUUCAACAAUUUCCUACUUAAUUAAAGUGUCUAAGUAUGGUUGUAAAGAGAGGAGUAGAAGAAUCAACACUAACCUUAGGUGUAGCUUUUCCCUUUUUCAAUUCUUCACUUCUUCCUUAGAUUUUUCUUCUCCAAUCUUCUUA
rnacentral:misc_RNA from 1 species